rnacentral:lncRNA from 10 species
GUAAGUACUGAGAACUGCAUUCCCAGAGUUUUAACAACUUACAGAAAAGUGAAUUGAAUUUCUGAAGCCUGGGAAAUGAUAAGAGAGAGGUGAAAGAGAGAUAGUGUGCUAAUGACCCUAGAGAGUUUGAAAAACGUUAUGGUCAGGUCUUUUGAGAGAAUCUCCUAAAAGGAGAUAAUGGGCAUGGCUGAAUCUGUAAAGAAAGUAUCUUGCUAUCAAGUGCCUGAGAGCAUGGCAAUCAAGAACCAGCGGCAGUCAGCCAGAACCUGCCCCUGAAUAAUUUAAUGGAGAACUGGCAUCACUACUUGAUCGAGUCUUCCAGCUCCUGAACACAGGAUUCACCCCAGCCUUCCCUAGAGAGAAGGCUUCUUCUCUCCCGUAGUCCCCAGGCCAGGUGGAACAACCAGUGCUCUGGUUGAAGACCUCUACAGGUAGACAGGUGGCAAGAUACUGCUUGGGCCCAUUUUCUUCAUCAUUUUCUGGUGAUACUUUACUUCAUGUAGAUAUGGACUUUGAUUUGCUUCUGCAGUUCUCAAAAUUCUAGGAUACAUUUUGUUCAAAACUAAAAUGAAGCUUACAAAAAUAUCUUCAGAAAAGAAAUAUAAGACCUGAGAAGAUAUAAUACUACUGAAUAGGGAAGAUUGGAGUAUUGUGUUGGAUGGCUUGUUCCAUUUCUUUUCAAACAAGAGAAAGAAAGGGAUGGUCGCACUUUGGUGUCUGGUGUUAUGACUCGUGGACCUUGUUAGCAAUGCACGCUGCAGGAGCUGUAAUAGAAGUGACUGUCUAAUUGUCAUUGUUUCCCGAGAAGUCAUUAUGUACCCAGAUAGCAUGUGUCUUUUCAACAUGACAAUAAUUAAAUCACCUCAACCACUGCACAGAAGUGUGAGCUAGUUUAACGCAUUGAUGAGUACCUAAGUUUUACAAUUCUAGGGAAUGUUACCUGAGGUGUGCUUUCAAUGGGUGAUUUUCAUACACAUUAGUUUGAUAUAUUUCACACUUCUCCCUAGCUCAUAAAUUUUUUUAAAAGGCUCUAUGGCUGUUUCAUUUUGAUUAAAAAGUUAAUAAAUCUUGCUCGUUCUAAAUUAAACACUGUCUUCUGUACCAAACAAAACAUGAGACUUUUCUUAUCAUUACUCUGAUGGUAGUGGUGGUAGUGAUUCUAAAAAAUUGAAAAAAAAUAGUAUUUAAACAGCAGUAACACAUCCCAGUC